UUAAGCGACUAAGCGUACACGGUGGAUGCCCUGGCAGUCAGAGGCGAUGAAGGACGUGCUAAUCUGCGAAAAGCGUCGGUAAGGUGAUAUGAACCGUUAUAACCGGCGAUGUCCGAAUGGGGAAACCCAGUGUGAUUCGUCACACUAUCGUUAACUGAAUACAUAGGUUAACGAGGCGAACCGGGGGAACUGAAACAUCUAAGUACCCCGAGGAAAAGAAAUCAACCGAGAUUCCCCCAGUAGCGGCGAGCGAACGGGGAGCAGCCCAGAGUCUGAAUCAGCUUGUGUGUUAGUGGAACGGUCUGGAAAGUCCGACGGUACAGGGUGAUAGUCCCGUACACCAAAAUGCACAGGUUGUGAACUCGAAGAGUAGGGCGGGACACGUGGUAUCCUGUCUGAAUAUGGGGGGACCAUCCUCCAAGGCUAAAUACUCCUGACUGACCGAUAGUGAACCAGUACCGUGAGGGAAAGGCGAAAAGAACCCCGGCGAGGGGAGUGAAAAAGAACCUGAAACCGUGUACGUACAAGCAGUGGGAGCACCUUCGGGUGUGACUGCGUACCUUUGUAUAAUGGGUCAGCGACUUAUAUUCUGUAGCAAGGUUAACCGUAUAGGGGAGCCGCAGGAAACCGAGUCUUAACUGGGCGUUAAGUUGCAGGGUAUAGACCCGAAACCCGGUGAUCAGCCAUGGGCAGGUUGAAGGUUGGGUAACACUAACUGGAGGACCGAACCGACUAAUGUUGAAAAAUUAGCGGAUGACUUGUGGCUGGGGUGAAAGGCCAAUCAAACCGGGAGAUAGCUGGUUCUCCCGAAAGCUAUUUAGGUAGCGCCUCGUGAACUCAUCUUCGGGGUAGAGCACUGUUUCGGCUAGGGUCAUCCCGACUUACCAACCCGAUGCAAACUACGAAUACCGAAGAAUGUUAUCACGGGAGACACACGGCGGGUGCUAACGUCCGUCGUGAAGAGGGAAACAACCCAGACCGCCAGCUAAGGUCCCAAAGUCAUGGUUAAGUGGGAAACGAUGUGGGAAGGCACAGACAGCCAGGAUGUUGGCUUAGAAGCAGCCAUCAUUUAAAGAAAGCGUAAUAGCUCACUGGUCGAGUCGGCCUGCGCGGAAGAUGUAACGGGCUAAACCAUGCACCGAAGCUGCGGCAGCGACACUAUGUGUUGUUGGGUAGGGGAGCGUUCUGUAAGCCUGCGAAGGUGACCUGUGAGGGUUGCUGGAGGUAUCAGAAGUGCGAAUGCUGACAUAAGUAACGAUAAAGCGGGUGAAAAGCCCGCUCGCCGGAAGACCAAGGGUUCCUGUCCAACGUUAAUCGGGGCAGGGUGAGUCGACCCCUAAGGCGAGGCCGAAAGGCGUAGUCGAUGGGAAACAGGUUAAUAUUCCUGUACUUGGUGUUACUGCGAAGGGGGGACGGAGAAGGCUAUGUUAGCCGGGCGACGGUUGUCCCGGUUUAAGCAUGUAGGCUGGUUGUCCAGGCAAAUCCGGAUAAUCAAGGCUGAGGUGUGAUGACGAGGCACUACGGUGCUGAAGUAACAAAUGCCCUGCUUCCAGGAAAAGCCUCUAAGCAUCAGGUAACAUUAAAUCGUACCCCAAACCGACACAGGUGGUCAGGUAGAGAAUACCAAGGCGCUUGAGAGAACUCGGGUGAAGGAACUAGGCAAAAUGGUGCCGUAACUUCGGGAGAAGGCACGCUGGUGUGUAGGUGAAGCCCCUGCGGGUGGAGCUGAGACCAGUCGAAGAUACCAGCUGGCUGCAACUGUUUAUUAAAAACACAGCACUGUGCAAACACGAAAGUGGACGUAUACGGUGUGACGCCUGCCCGGUGCCGGAAGGUUAAUUGAUGGGGUUAUCCGUAAGGAGAAGCUCUUGAUCGAAGCCCCGGUAAACGGCGGCCGUAACUAUAACGGUCCUAAGGUAGCGAAAUUCCUUGUCGGGUAAGUUCCGACCUGCACGAAUGGCGUAAUGAUGGCCAGGCUGUCUCCACCCGAGACUCAGUGAAAUUGAACUCGCUGUGAAGAUGCAGUGUACCCGCGGCAAGACGGAAAGACCCCGUGAACCUUUACUAUAGCUUGACACUGAACAUUGAGCCUUGAUGUGUAGGAUAGGUGGGAGGCUUUGAAGCGUGGACGCCAGUCUGCGUGGAGCCAACCUUGAAAUACCACCCUUUAAUGUUUGAUGUUCUAACGUUGGCCCCUUACCGGGGUUGCGGACAGUGUCUGGUGGGUAGUUUGACUGGGGCGGUCUCCUCCCAAAGCGUAACGGAGGAGCACGAAGGUUAGCUAAUCGGUCGGACAUCAGGAGGUUAGUGCAAUGGCAUAAGCUAGCUUGACUGCGAGCGUGACGGCGCGAGCAGGUGCGAAAGCAGGUCAUAGUGAUCCGGUGGUUCUGAAUGGAAGGGCCAUCGCUCAACGGAUAAAAGGUACUCCGGGGAUAACAGGCUGAUACCGCCCAAGAGUUCAUAUCGACGGCGGUGUUUGGCACCUCGAUGUCGGCUCAUCACAUCCUGGGGCUGAAGUAGGUCCCAAGGGUAUGGCUGUUCGCCAUUUAAAGUGGUACGCGAGCUGGGUUUAGAACGUCGUGAGACAGUUCGGUCCCUAUCGCCGUGGGCGCUGGAGAAUUGAGGGGCUGCUCCUAGUACGAGAGGACCGGAGUGGACGCAUCACUGGUGUUCGGGUUGUCAUGCCAAUGGCACUGCCCGGUAGCUAAAUGCGGAAGAGAUAAGUGCUGAAAGCAUCUAAGCACGAAACUUGCCCCGAGAUGAGUUCUCCUGAGACUUUAAGUCUCCUGAAGGAACGUUAAAGACGAUGACGUUGAUAGGCCGGGUGUGUAAGCGCAGCGAUGCGUUGAGCUAACCGGUACUAAUGAACCGUGAGGCUUAACCU
rnacentral:rRNA from 1 species